AGCAAAGGAGGUUGAGGUCGAAGAGGCGCCAUGUUGGUUAAGGGCAGGGCAGUGGCCGUUCAGGACUUUUUCAGAAGAAAGCUAGCAAAGCUCUAGCGUUUUCACAUAUUCCAGAAGCCUCUCUUGGCGUAGCACUGAAGGGCUUUUCCAUGAUGCCUCCCGAGGAGGCCGGGCGUGAGAAAGCAGCCCUGGGGUCGUGAACUUCGCGGACGUGGCCGUGUACUUCUUCUGGGGGACUGGGGGUGUCGGCGGCCAGCGCAGAGCGCCCUGUACCGGGACGUGAUGUGGGAGACGUACGGCCGACUGGGCGCUCUCGGAUCCGGGGAUGACAGUGAGGAAAAAGAACUGAACAAGAGUCCAAAACAAAGAGACGGCGCAUGAGGAAGUGUCUCUCGAGGAGUGGUUACCAUCCAGCAGGCCACCUGGCCCCAGUCACAAAGCCACCUGCCCAGAGCUCUACUGGACUCUGGGAAGAGCCCGAUCUAGCCUUGGUUCAAGGACAUUACAACCCACAAAUCACCCUACUCUUGCCCAAACUGUGGCCACAACUUCAGCUACCCCUCCCUCCUGGCCAACCUGGGGAGCGGCCCUGCCAGUGUGACCAAUGCCAGGCUCGUCUCUCCCAGUGCAAACAUCUGCUCCAGCAUCAGCUCUUCCACACAGAGCAUUCUGCUUUCUGGACUGUAGCUCUCCUGUUCCUCAGAGAUGAGAUCCUCUGGACGCAAGAGCCUAUGGAAGGAGCCUGCACCCUCUCCGAGGACCCUCUGAAAUAGAGGGCACACCUUGGGCCCAUCCCCAGUGGGGGAAGCUCAUCCAAGGAUUCUUUUAGCCAGUGCAGAUAUUCACAUGUUCUCUGGAUUUUACACCUUCUGAAUAAAGAUGUGUUCUUGGACCACAGCAGGCGGAAACAAAAUGCUGGGACUUUUGUUUAAAAGAAAGAGUAAAUUACCGGUGAUAAGGGUUGAAAUCAA